AGAGUUUGAUCCUGGCUCAGGAUAAACGCUGGCGGCGUGCCUAACACAUGCAAGUCGAACGUCCUUCUUCGCCUCGGCGAAGAAGGGAGUGGCGGACGGGUGAGUAACACGUGGGUUAUCUCCCUUGAGGUGAGGAAUACCGGCGAGAAAUCGCCGACAAGACCGCAUACGAUUGGCAACAAUCAAAGUUGUGCUUCGCGAGAAGUGCGACGCCACAAGAUGAGCUCGCGCCCGAUUAGCUAGUUGGUGAGGUAAUGGCUUACCAAGGCGACCAUCGGUAGCUGGUCUGAGAGGAUGAUCAGCCACACUGGGACUGAGAACGGCCCAGACUCCUACGGGGGGCAGCAGUGAGGAAUUUUCCGCAAUGGACGCAAGUCUGACGGAGCAACGCCGCGUGCAGGAUGACGGCCUUCGGGUUGUAAACUGCUUUUCUGAGAGACGAGCAAGGACGGUAUCUCAGGAAGAAGCCCCGGCUAACUACGUGCCAGCAGCCGCGGUAAUACGUAGGGGGCAAGCGUUGUCCGGAGUUACUGGGCGUAAAGCGCUCGCAGGCGGUGAUGUACGUAGAGGGUUCCAGCCAUCGGCUUAACCGAUGGAGUGCUCGCUAAACGGCAUGACUUGAGGGCUAGAGAGGGACAUGGAACUCCGGGUGGAGUGGUGAAAUGCGUAGAGAUCCGGAAGAACACCAAAGGCGAAGGCAGUGUCCUGGCUAGUACCUGACGCUAAGGAGCGAGAGCUAGGGGAGCGAACAGGAUUAGAUACCCUGGUAGUCCUAGCCGUAAACGAUGACCACUAGGCGUGGGGGGUAUCGACCCCUUCCGUGCCGACGUUAACACAUUAAGUGGUCCGCCUGGGGAGUACGGUCGCAAGAUUAAAACUCAAAGGAAUUGACGGGGACCCGCACAAGCAGCGGAGCGUGUGGUUUAAUUCGAAGCAACGCGAAGAACCUUACCAAGGCUUGACAUGUAGUAGACACCCGUGGAAACACGGCUCCCUUCGGGGCUGCUGCACAGGUGCUGCAUGGCUGUCGUCAGCUCGUGUCGUGAGAUGUUGGGCUAAGUCCCGCAACGAGCGCAACCCUCGUCGUCGGUUAUCGGUGUCCGAGGAAACUGCCACGAUCAACGUGGAGGAAGGUGGGGAUGACGUCAAGUCAGCACGGCCCUUACGUCUUGGGCGACACACACGCUACAAUGGCCGCGACAACGAGUCGCCAACCCGCGAGGGGGAGCUAAUCUCAGCAAACGCGGUCUCAGUUCAGAUUGUAGGCUGCAACUCGCCUGCAUGAAGUUGGAGUUGCUAGUAACCGUGAGUCAGCACAUCACGGUGAAUACGUUCCCGGGUCUUGCACACACCGCCCGUC
rnacentral:rRNA from 1 species